UUACAAAUCUAACUGAUGCUAACCCAAUACUUGAAUUGCAUUGCUCUGAUUGAAAUGUUUAUACAAGUUGUCAAGUUGUUGCCACUAUCAUAUUUGUAAAGGGAGUUGGAGGAAUUCUAUUCGUGUCUAGCAGCACAUUUGCAUCCUUUCUUUUGCUUUCGCACCUGGCGCUUACUACUCCAGUUCUCUAGGAUUUCUACAACUAUAAACCUACUAAGCCCGAAUACAAUUUACUUCUUAAUGAGUUCACUCGGAACGCAACUCUUUUUGGUGCAUUGCUAUUUUUCAUAGGGAUGAAGAACUAAAUUCCUAGGAAACAGUUCAGGAAGAAGACGACCCCAAAAAGAAAACCAAAAACAAAAGCAGUCUAGAAAUUAGAGAGAUAUGUAUCUGUUUACUAUGAACAGGCUAUUGAAUCGCUGUGUUGCCGUGUUUUGGAAUAGUUAGUUAAACUUUUUUACAUUGUGUUUUUUUGUUACUUGGCACAUAACUUGGUUAUGGAUGAGCUUGAGGUUUGUUCACAGUUCUGUUGUACUUGCGGCUAAGAAUAGC